ACAGGAGUUGUAGUAAUUUUAACCAGAGAAUGUGAACUCUACAGCCCUUGCUGGACAAUCUAUUGUUUUUCAUGGUGAGAUGGGUGCAGUACUGAUCACAUGAGAUGGGUGACCAGUGUCCCAUCUUGCCAGGGAGGUCAACAGAAGUUUAGCUGCUGACAUCAUGAACAGGAUUGCAACCCGUAUC
rnacentral:lncRNA from 1 species